rnacentral:rRNA from 1 species
UACAGAGGGUGCGAGCGUUGUCCGGAAUUACUGGGCGUAAAGGGCGCGUAGGCGGUAGCACAAGUCAGUUGUGAAAUCUCCGGGCUUAACUCGGAAAGGUCAACUGAUACUGUGCGACUAGAGUGCAGAAGGGGCAACUGGAAUUCUCGGUGUAGCGGUGAAAUGCGUAGAUAUCGAGAGGAACACCUGCGGCGAAGGCGGGUUGCUGGGCUGACACUGACGCUGAGGCGCGAAAGCCAGGGGAGCGAACGGG